GACGAACGCUGGCGGCGUGCCUAACACAUGCAAGUCGAACGGGGAGUUAUUUAUAACUCCUAGUGGCGAACGGGUGAGUAACGCGUAGACAACCUGCCUCUAAAUUGGGGACAACACCGCGAAAGUGGUGCUAAUACCGAAUGUGGUAACUUGGUCGCAUUACUAGGUUAAGAAAGAUGGCCUCUAUAUAUAAGCUAUCGAUUAGAGAUGGGGCGGCGUCUGAUUAGCUAGUUGGUGAGGUAAUGGCUCACCAAGGCGACGAUCAGUAGACGGUCUGAGAGGAUGAACGGCCACACUGGGACUGAGACACGGCCCAGACUCCUACGGGAGGCAGCAGUGGGGAAUCUUCCGCAAUGGACGAAAGUCUGACGGAGCAACGCCGCGUGAGUGAAGAAGGUCUUCGGAUUGUAAAGCUCUGUCGUUUGGGACGAACGUGGAUUGUGUGAAUAAUGCAGUCUAAUGACGGUACCAAAGGAGGAAGCCACGGCUAACUACGUGCCAGCAGCCGCCGCAG
rnacentral:rRNA from 1 species